GGCAGAGUCCAGGAUAAAAGAUAAGGGAAUGGGACACAUCAACACAAUCUGUGGAAAUGUUCUAGUGAGAAGCCCAUUCAAUUUACUCCCCACCAGGUGGGAAGGGAGAAGGCAUCACACUUCCUACCAGGGUGCUGUUCAUGGAUCCUAUGCCGGGGCUCUAUCUUUCAUAUAGGUCUCCAGCUCAUAGGUGGCUGAUAAACAUAAAGCCUUCCUCUCCCACGGGUGGAAGUGCUGCUCUCUCAACCCCACCAAUGUUCCCAGCCUCCUAUCUACUGGGAUGGAAGAAUAACUAUACUAUCCUCUUCCGGCCUCCUGGCUGCUAAUAAGUACAGAGUGUCUCUGCUAAUCUAUUGUUCCUUUAGCUGUCUGCCUAUUAUUCCUUACAGAGAGAGUCUAUACGGCACUGCUCUUCCUCAGCCUUUAGUUUUUGGGUCAUCCUUUCUCAUGAAUAGCUUCAGUGUCUGAUCCUGCUCCGGGCUUUCUAAAGUAGCAGUUGCAGAGUGAAAUUAACAUAAUUCUCAUUAAUUUCCUUGCUGCAUACUGGUCUGAAUAUCUGAGCACUGAAACUCACCACAAAGGUGUUAACAUCAAACUGAUGCUUCUUGGGAAAGUUAUGAGCAGGAGCAGAGACACUGCAGCUGCCUGUGUGCAGACUCAGGAAAACAGAAUUCCAUGGUCUCAUUUGAAAGAUUUUCUUCUAAACCAAUGGUGCUCAACCAGGGGUACAUGUACCCCUGCGGGUACACAGAGGUCUUCCAGGGGGCACAUCAACUCAUUUAGAUAUUUGCCUACUUUUACAUCAGGAUAUAUAAAAAGCACUAGCAAAGUCAGUACAAACUAAAAUUUCUUACAGACAAUGCCUUGUUUAUACUGCUCUAUAUACUAUACACUGAAAUAUUAAGUACAUUAUUUAUAUUCCAAUUGAUUUAUUUUAUAAUUUUAUGAUAAAAAUGAAAAAAUAAGCAUUUUUUUCAGUAAUAACGUGCUGUGACAUUUUUUGUAUUUUUAGUAGGGCUGUCAAUUAAUUGCAGUUAACUCAUGCGAUUAACAAAAAAUUAAUUGCAAUUAAAUUAAUUAAUUGUGAUUAAUCGCACUGUUAAACAAUAGAAUACCAUUUGAAAUUUAUUAAAUAUUUUUGGAUGUUUUUCUUCAUUUUCAAAUAUAUUGAUUUAAAUUAAAACACAGAAUACAAAGCAUAGAAUAAUAAUAAGGCACAGAAUACACAGUGUUCACUUUAUAUUAUUUUUUAUUACAAAUAUUUGCACUGUGAAAAUGAUAAACAAAAGAAAUAGUAUUUUUCAAUUCAUCUCAUACAAGUACUGUAGUACAAUCUCUUUAUCAUGAAAGCGCAACUUACAAAUGUAGGUUUUUUUUUGUUA
rnacentral:lncRNA from 1 species